GGAUUUUCCUCCUGAAUCCGAUAUCGUAGAAGAUCCAUUCUUGCAUGAGAUUAGAUUUACGACCUGAGCCCGAUAUCGUAGAAGAACCAUUCUUGCAUCAGAGUGAAUUUACGACGUGAGCCCGAUAUCGUAGAAGGACCAUUCUUGCAUCAGAUUGAACGUAUUGAAUGUCUCUAUCAUUUUCAUGAAUAAAUUUUGUGAUUAUAUUACGAAUUAACCCCUAAAAUUGCAUUUUUGUGUUUCGAAGCACUAAUUUUGAUUGUUUUACGGAUUUACGACCUGAGCCCGAUAUCGUAGAAGAACCAUUCUUGCAUCAGAUUGUAUUUUGCACCUGAGUCUGACAUCAUAGAAAAACCAUUCUUGCAUUAGAAUGGAUUUUGCACCUGACUCUGACAUCAUAGAAGGACCAUUCUUGCAUCAGAUUGAUUAAUUUUUGCUGCUUUAAGAGAUUUUGCACCUUAAUCUGACAUCAUAGAAGGACCAUUUAUGCAUCAAAUUG